ensembl:lncRNA
GUGGGAGAGGAGAGGAGGGGGCCACAAGGAGGGGGCAUUAGGGAGAGAUUGGGGGGGGUUGACAAUGAACUUGAGACAAACUUCAUUAGCAUGCAGGCCUGCUGUCUGUCAAGUUGAGCCCCGGCCGAGUUCCCAUGCAGGCCAAGGAGGGAGGGAGGGAGAAAGGGGGAGGGGCUGAGGAGGUAGGGGAGAAAGAGAGAAAAGAGACCGGCCCAUUGUACCAUUCUGGUCCCCAGCUUCCACCAAGCACUGGGACCCCAGCCCUGGAAACCAACCCCCAAAGCUCCCUCCCUCCUACAAGAGCAAGAUAAUUUAUCUUCCACUUUGAAUAUGUGGCCCCACUUCUUGUCUAGACUUUUUCCCUUCUAGUCUGUGCACACCACACACACCCCCACACACAUAUACAAGCCAGAGAGGAUUUGGAUGAAAAUUUAUUUUCCCCCUUUCUUCCUACCCAGCUUACUUCUCUCUUAUUCCCUGCCCUCCCUUCCAUAAUAAAGAUCUGAAUACCAAGGGGAAGCCCCCAAAUCUCCAAAGCACCUCCAUCCCCAUGGCCCUUCCUCCACUCAAAAGCACCACCACAUUUUCAUCUCUUGUCUGUUGUGAAUAAAAAAAAUUAAAGAGGACCCUGGACGUGGGAGGCAGAAGCAGAGUAGGUGCCCUUCAUCUGACUAUUUUUACAUUGGCAGGCGAGUGUUGGAGGAAACAAUAGCUGGGUUGUUGUGCCCCCCCCCCAUCUUCUUGCCUCAGGUUGGAAAGGGCUGUGUUGGGGUGGGGUGGUAAGGGGGAUCAGGGUGGAGGUGACACUCAUCUCUUCUCGCCCAUGCAGUGGAAAGGAGGAGAAAGGGGUUUCAAAGAGGCAGAGUGGGGUGGGCUUUCAUUUUUUAAGGGGUGGGGAGGUUUUCAGGCAGGGGCAGCACCCCCUUUUUGCUGUCUGCCAAGGAGAGCUGCAAGAGAAAGAAAGAGAGGGUAGCGAAAUUCCUGAAUGGAUAGACAGAUGCUACGUCAUCAAGGCUGCAGCCUCUACUCCACAAGAGGCUAGGAGCUGGGGGGGAGAGAGGCAGACCAGCCGUGGGGGCCGAGGAGACAGACACCUCCUCUUCACAGGAACUGGGGGACCAACACCCAGAUGAAGCAACAACAUUUGUUUCUGGUACCAUUGUAGGCGGCUCUCCAGCUGGACCCAAAAGUGGACAUGAUGGGCGAUGUACCAGGGACAUUCAUGGGGAGAAACCAUAUCUCAUUUGGCCUCUAUCUUUCUUAAGCAGCCAUCCAGGAUUGACCAGAGGAUGGACGACACAGCCACUGAAGCCCAAAGAGAUCUUGUCACCCUAGCAGCUAACAUCUGUCCUCCUCCAGGAAGCCUCCUCCAGGAUUCCUAGAACACCAACCUUUGAAUUGUCCAGCUCUUGUCUGGAAUAGAAGGACUUGAAAAGCACACAUUGUCCAACUCUGUGAUUUUACAGCAAAAAAGCUCCACAGGGGCAGGGACUGAAUC